CCUACGGGAGGCAGCAGUAGGGAAUUUUGCGCAAUGGGCGAAAGCCUGACGCAGCAACGCCGCGUGAUCGAGACGCCCUUCGGGGUGUAAAGAUCUGUCAGUGGGGGCGAAACUUGACGGGACCCACAGAGGAAGCACCGGCGAACUCCGUGCCAGCAGCCGCGGUAAUACGGGGGGUGCAAGCGUUGUACGGAAUAAUUGGGCGUAAAGGGUUCGUAGGCGGCACGUAAAGUCCGGUGUUAAAGGCAGAGGCUCAACUUCUGUACGGCACUGGAUACUUGCGGGCUAGAAUGGGGGAGAGGUAAAGGGAAUGCCUGGGGUAGCGGUGAAAUGCUGAGAUAUCAGGAGGAACAUCGGUGGCGUAAGCGCUAUGCUGGGCCGUAAUUGACGCUGAGGAACGAAAGCCAGGGUAGCAAAUAGGAUUAGAUACCCGGGUAGUC
rnacentral:rRNA from 1 species